UACAGAGGUCCCAAGCGUUGUUCGGAUUCAUUGGGCGUAAAGGGUGCGUAGGUGGCGCCGUAAGUGGGGUGUGAAAUUUCGGAGCUUAACUCCGAAACUGCAUUCCAUACUGCGGUGCUUGAGGACUGGAGAGGAGACUGGAAUUUACGGUGUAGCAGUGAAAUGCGUAGAGAUCGUAAGGAAGACCAGUGGCGAAGGCGGGUCUCUGGACAGUUCCUGACACUGAGGCACGAAGGCCAGGGGAGCAAACGGG
rnacentral:rRNA from 1 species